rnacentral:tRNA from 1 species
GGGGAUGUGGCGGAAUUGGUAUACGCGUUCGUUUGAGGGGCGAAUGGGGCAACCCUUGAGAGUUCGAGUCUCUCCAUCCCCACCA